rnacentral:tRNA from 1 species
GGAUUUAGCUUAGUGACACAGCAUCUGCCUUGCAAGCACAAGGUCCUGAGUUCAAUCCCCGGUAUCCA